CGUCGUCCUUCUGAACUCGGCCUGAGAAAUGAGCGCGGUUUACUGCCAGCCGGGCUACGUGUCCCGGAGCGUGGCCCUGAGCGACUGGCAGUCCGCCCCUUGGGACUGCUGCGAUGACAUGAAGACUUGGAUCUCUGUGCGGAGACUGGCUGUGGUGGACGUUUUGUUGUCCUUGUACCUUGUGUCAACUGAAGAGGGACGUCGAGAUGAGGAAAGAACUGUGUGCUUUGUAAAAGGCGCUUGCUCAAAUUCACAUUGUCGUCAAAAAGCUGGAAUGAAAUACCACGUCUAUUAAAUGCCAUCUCAUCUUACGUUUCAGAAACGAAUUCAAACUAAUCAAACGGCUUCAAGAUAUUUUUAAUUCCUAGUUUCUUUAAAAAACAAAAAAAAACAUUUAGUGCAUGUAUUAACAAUCUCGGAAGUGUUAACAUUUAACAGUAGCAAACAACCCAUGGCAUUUCUGUUGUGUAUGCAAUAAAAAAAACUUUCUGCACACUGAAAAAA